rnacentral:rRNA from 1 species
AUUGAACGCUGGCGGCAGGCCUAACACAUGCAAGUCGAGCGGUAGCACAGAGAGCUUGCUCUCGGGUGACGAGCGGCGGACGGGUGAGUAAUGUCUGGGAAACUGCCUGAUGGAGGGGGAUAACUACUGGAAACGGUAGCUAAUACCGCAUAAUGUCGCAAGACCAAAGUGGGGGACCUUCGGGCCUCAUGCCAUCAGAUGCGCCCAGAUGGGAUUAGCUAGUAGGUGGGGUAACGGCUCACCUAGGCGACGAUCCCUAGCUGGUCUGAGAGGAUGACCAGCCACACUGGAACUGAGACACGGUCCAGACUCCUACGGGAGGCAGCAGUGGGGAAUAUUGCACAAUGGGCGCAAGCCUGAUGCAGCCAUGCCGCGUGUGUGAAGAAGGCCUUCGGGUUGUAAAGCACUUUCAGCGGGGAGGAAGGCGUUAAGGUUAAUAACCUUGGCGAUAGACGUUACCCGCAGAAGAAGCACCGGCUAACUCCGUGCCAGCAGCCGCCGUAA